GUGAAUCAGUGGAGGGAACAGUCGUGCGCCGGCUGCGGCAGUGCGGGGUCGCCACGUGAGAGCGACGCGGAUAGUGCGCUGCGAUGGCGCGAUGAAGACGUGCGGCCGCGCGGCGUUUUGCUGGGCCCUGCUGUGCCUCGCUGGCAGCCUGGCGGCGCCGCGCCGCCCUUACUGCGAGCGGGCGGACGUAGCGUGGCGCGCCUACCGGGCCCCAGCAGCCUUCGAGGCCCGCGUCCAGUCGCUCGCCAAAGACGCCGCCACGGUCCAAGUGCGCCGCGUCCUACGCCGCCAGGGUCGCUGGCCCAGGGAAGAUGCCAUCAUCCGGCUCAAACUGCCACAGGAUUCACUCGAGUGCUCCGGACGUUUCGAAGUGCCUUUACAGAAUCGAAAGAACUAUAUAAUUUUCGCGGAGAGAAGGGGCCACGCCGCCGUGGCUCUGGGUCCGCCGUUGAGACGGACCGGCAAGUUGAUGAGGAGGAUACGAGCGGUCUACAAGCCUGGUUACAGUAGUCCCGCAAGGAUAGAACCGAUGCAGUCGGUGCGAGCCACCCGGGGAAGCCGGGUGAAGCUGGAGUGCCAAGCGAGCGCACGGCCCCCGCCACGGAUAUCGUGGUACAAGGACGGCCGGCCCGUCGCUGAUAUUGCUUUAAGAAGAUUCCGGGUGCAGAGUUUCAGAAGGCGCUCGCUGUUAGUGAUAAGGCAUGCGCGUCGCGAAGAUUCAGCGACGUACGAGUGUAGGGCGCAGGGCGCUGUGGGGCCUCCUGCUAUAGCAUCCGCCAACGUCAGUGUGCUGCCACCCACCACAAACGCACCGGACACAUCGAUGCUUGGUGCGCCGUGUCCGAUGCCGGACCCUUCUUCCUAUUGCCUCAAUGGAGGAACUUGUUUAUUCUUUGAGCUAGUUCAAGAACAAGCUUGCAAAUGCCCAGAAGGAUUCAAUGGACAACGCUGUGAGAACAAGGACGUGUCGAACAGGAGCAGUCUCGGUGAACGACUUUGGUGAACGAACGAAUGAGACUCAGAUCUACGAAUGAUAGUUGCACGGACCAUUCCUGACAAUAGUUUAUAGAGUAAUUUAAACUGCCUUAUAGUCUAAUAAUUGUAACGAAAUAAAGACAUGCUUUGUUGUUUAAAAGACGAAAUUGCUAUUACAUUUUCUUCUUGAAAAUUCAACCAAAAAUGACUAAGUUUUUUCAGAUGUCUUUAAAUUUGCCAAUAUUAGCUGUAUGUUAAUUAUCCGCCUCAGAUAUACUCAUAGAUAAUGCCCACGUGAAAGUACUUAAUUAACAUUUAAAAAUAAAGGCCGCUUAGAAAAAGGAUUAGUAUUUUAAUAUUAAAAAGAAACGAAUGUAAUAUUAGGAAACAUCCACCAUGUAGCAGCCAUCAAUAAAUUCUUUCAAAAGAUUGACUAAACUAAAUCAGCGCCAUCUGUUAGAAAAUGAUAUAACUAGACCUUAACCUUAUCUAGUAAAACGUGGUUUAAAUAGGCCUAUAAACGAAAGUUAAUUAAACAAUUGUUAAUUUUGCGAUGUAUGAUAUUUUGUUAUAAUUUGUACAGUUACACGUAAGUUUAGUUCUAAUUAAAUUAUUUUUGCAAUAAAAAUCCUUUUGAAUGUAUGCCUGUGACUCUUAAACGAAAAUAAUUUGGCAUUAAAAUCUGUUUUUGUGCUAGAUUCUUUCAAGAUGCAACUGGUAAACAGUUACUUGGUAUCGGGUAACACUGGAAUAUUUGUCCAUUUACUUUGAAUUACUUACCGAUUGGGUGUUUUACCAUAACGACAAACGUUUGAGCUAAAGGUUGCUCCACAUUCCCGAGAGGCAAAAUUUGUAGAAACAAGCAUUGGCGAGAGCGGCUCUGUAAAUUUCCGGUUUAUUCAGUUGUAAAUAGACGCUCGCCCGAGAUCUAUCUUGUGACGCCUACGUCACAAGAAUAUCUGCUGCUGCUGUAAAUGUAUACAAGAUAACACAAGUUUCGUAUAGUGUUGCCGGGAAUGUGGAGACGGCUUAAUUGUGCUUUUUAUGUAUCUGUUACUAAGUAACGAGGCUUUGCAACUCUGCUAUUUCAAAAGAUAUUAGAAAUUAUAAACGUUAAAUUUUAUAUACAAGCAAAAUGUACUAUGGAGUCUGUAAACUGUAUACCGUAAUAGUCAGAAUUAUAUAUGUUUAACGUUUCUAUCAGCUGCAAGUUAAAACCCGAAAUAUUUUUUUUAUUCAAACUGGCAUUGAUAUCUAUUCCUAUCAGAAUGGCUUGAUUUUGAUUAUAAUGACAAUGACAGCUGAUAAUGACGCCAUUGCUCCGACAUAUACGAUUAUUAUAUUCUUCUAUAUUCAAGGCCAAAUUUAAACGUGUUAAAAAGUUAUGAGUAUAAAGCUGUGGCCAGUAUAUUUUUUUUACAUUAUAUAUAUUGAAAAUAAGAUAGACACUUCAUACUCAAUCUGCUCAUAAGACUAGAACUCUUUUUGCAUAGAAAAUAUAAAAAUUAAAAUACGGCUCUUCAACAAUCUUAUUACAAAGAGAAUUAAAUAAGCUCUUAUCAGAAUGUAUAGGCAAAUAAUUAAUGUUCUGUGAGUUAUAAAUAAUACAAAUCAAGUGACUGAUCUCUUUAUCAUAUCUAUUGUUAAAGAUUUUAUCCUGGUAGCAAAAAGGCCCACAAAUUAUUUCGUGGAGUACGGAAAAAUCUCAGUGCGUAACCUUUGGAAUAAGAUAACGAAAAACAGAAGAGGGUCUUUGUCACCUCACCUCUUCCUAUGGAAACUGGAAAAUCAUAAGUCAUAACGCCACAGCUUAUCAAACAAAUUUAACUCAAAUAUGAACGAGUUUCCCUUAAAAAUAAUGUGUCUAUAAUACAGUCAUUAGAUAAUGGAGAGAAAAAGAAAUGGCUACCAUUCAAAGGCUAAUGUAAUAGAUAGGGGCAGAGUCAGAAACUAGUAGAGAAUGAUUUUAACUGUACAUUUUGAGCAUUAGUGAUUUCCACUGGCUUGGCUUCCGCCCACUUCUCAGGAAUAUCACAGUCAGGUCUGGCAUGCACUAAGACAUCAAAUGAACAUCGACAAUCGAGGAAUGAUAAGGCAACAUCACCAUCUUCAUACUGAACAUUGAAAU